AUUGAACGCUGGCGGCAUGCCUUACACAUGCAAGUCGAACGGUAACAGGUCUUCGGAUGCUGACGAGUGGCGAACGGGUGAGUAAUACAUCGGAACGUGCCCGAUCGUGGGGGAUAACGGAGCGAAAGCUUUGCUAAUACCGCAUACGAUCUACGGAUGAAAGCAGGGGACCGCAAGGCCUUGCGCGGACGGAGCGGCCGAUGGCAGAUUAGGUAGUUGGUGGGAUAAAAGCUUACCAAGCCGACGAUCUGUGGCUGGUCUGAGAGGACGACCAGCCACACUGGGACUGAGACACGGCCCAGACUCCUACGGGAGGCAGCAGUGGGGAAUUUUGGACAAUGGGCGAAAGCCUGAUCCAGCCAUGCCGCGUGCAGGAUGAAGGCCUUCGGGUUGUAAACUGCUUUUGUACGGAACGAAAAGACUCUUUCUAAUAAAGAGGGUCCAUGACGGUACCGUAAGAAUAAGCACCGGCUAACUACGUG
rnacentral:rRNA from 1 species